rnacentral:lncRNA from 1 species
UGCACGUGCACACACGCACACGCACUCACACGUGGGCGCUCGUGCGCAGCAUGCUCCAGCACGCGCACCUGGCGCAGGGGACUUCACUCUGGGCGCAGAGGGAGCUGGCGCUUUGGCCACAGCGGGCUCCUUGAAGACUCGGGGUUCAGAAAAGCCCCUGUGCGGGCUCCAUCUCUCCUCUCCUGGAAGCACCCCCUUUCCCUUCAAAUCUCAGCGACCUCUGUCAUGUCCUCUACCAAAUCUUGGAGCAGAUCUGAUAUCAUUUGCUCAGGCCUGGGGUGUGGCGUGAACUCUCAUGGCAGGUGAGUAGGUGCUCGGAAGCCCUGCCACCUGUACCCCUGUUGCCAUUGGCUUCAGGUCCCUGGCAGCUGCCUGUGGCCCGGGCCUGUCUGUCCCUUUGACUGUCGAUGUUAGAGAGCACCUGGGCCGGGGUUCACGACCCUCCCUAAAGUCACCCGAAAACCGGCCGCAACGCCAGCAGGGCUUCCUUGAGAAGACAGAUUUUGUCAGCAAUACACAGGGUUCAGUGGGUCCCAGCUUUUCCAUUUCCUGGGCAUGAGGUCUCAGGCAAAUCAUUAUUUAACCUCUCCAAGCCUCAGUUUCCCCAUCUAUAAAAAUCAGAAAGGAACCUACUCCAGAGAGGCUGCCAAUGGGAUUGUAAGAGCGCCUGUGUGUGAAGGGCUGUCUUGUUUCACACUCAAUGUGUGGCAGCUAAAAUGCGUGAUACUAUGGUUCUAUUAUCUCUUUGGCCCAAGGCCUUGAUCUAGGAAGGGGAGACGUCUGAUGGUCACAUCUGCCAAAAGAACCCAGCGCUGCUCUCCACGCAGGGCCAGCCAAAGCCUCACUUUUCUGUUUAGCGUGGGAAGAAUGACACACUCCUCCUGAUGCAAGAAUUUGGCCCAGACCUGCUGGCCUGUGAAGCGGUCAGCACUGAAGUCUCUGAGCACCUUCUGGGAGGGGCCGGGCUGGAACACAGGGCGCUGUGUAAGACCAGGCUGGCAGAAGGUCUGACCCAGGUCACAGCUGGGAGCUGGGAGCUUUACCCGGCACAUAUUUCCCAUCCCCUUCUCCCUGGCACCCAGACCCAGGUACUUUCCAGACAGCCAUGGUUCACCUGGGCUGUUCCCAGGCACAGCCCUGACCCUAGGUCUCUCCCGUGAGCUCAUCUCUGCAAAUGUGUAAAUGCAGAUGGCCACGGGUAUCAUCCCUCUCUCUCUUCGAAGAUGCUGUGUGUGUUAGCUUUCUGGUGCUGGGACAAAAUACUUGAGAAAAACAACUUAUUAGGAGAAAAAAUUGUUUUGGCUCAUAGUUUCUGAGGUUUCAGUCCAUGGCCACUUGGCCCCAUGGCCUGGGGCCUGUCGCAGCAGAGCAUGUCAUGGUGCAGAGCAUAGCAGAAGAAACUGCUCACCUCAUAGCGCCUGGCAAGGGAGAGAAAAAGAAGGAAGAAGGGCUGGGGCCCGGUACGUCCCUCAGGACACACCCCCAGUGCCUGACUUCCUCCAGACUCGGGCCCUGGGCAGCUGGCGAGGACGCAGAGCUGAUGGCAACGAGAGUGAGGUGACUUCUCUGUACUUUCUCCAGCCGUUGUGAUGCCAACUGCCACGAGGCCUCAUCAGAGGCUAAACCAGUGGGGCUGCCUCAUCUUAGACUUUCAGUCUCCAAGGGGAUUGAACUUGGAACCUUGCACUUGUGAGACAGGCGCCUGAACCACUAAGCUAAAUCCCUGGCUCUAGCUUUUCAUUACUAUAAUGGGAUACCUGAGAUGAUCAACUUACAAAGACAGAAGGUUUACUUUUGCUUAGGGUUUUGAGGGUGCCAGUCCAUGAUUGGUUGGCUCCAUUGCUUCAGGCCUGUGGUGAGCUAGGACAUCAUGGCAGAAGUGCUGGGUGGAGCUCACAUAUGGCUCAGAGGCAAAAGAGCAGGGAUGCCACAAUCCCAUUCAAGAGUGCACCCCAGUGGCCCAAAGACUUUCCACUACACCCUGCCUCUUAAAGUUUCCACCACCUCCAAGAAGUGCCACCCCAGGGACCAAGCCUUUCACACAUAGUCUUUGGGGGUACAUUUCAGAGCCAGACUAUAACAAAUAGCUUAAAAAUGCAGACAGAAGUGUAGCCAGGGCAUAGGCUUCAACUGCAAUAAGAAGAUACCUGUGCAUCAUAACAGAGCUGCCAGGGAGCCCAGAGUAUCAUGAUUCAAAUUACUAGUUUGCUGGCUGUGACUGUGGAUGAGUUCCCUAAAUGUAUGAGUCCAUUUUCUGUUACUAUGACAAAAUACCUGAGAUUGACUGGUUUAUAAAGUAAAGAGGUUUAUCUUGGCUCAUGGUUCUGGAGGUGCAGUCACAUCUCAAGAUGGGCUUCUUGCUGGCAGUGUCCUGAGGGGCACAGGGCAUCACGUGGCAAGAGACAGGAAGCUGGGACAUGUGCGUGUCCUCUGGCCUCUCUCUCUUCUUAUAAAGCUACCAGGUCCAAUCAUAGUGACCUUGCCUAUCUUAAUCACCUCUCAGAGGCCCCACCCCUAAACAACACACGCCAUUCACACAUCCACAUUCUUAAUACCCUGGGACAGGGGUUAAAUUUCAACUGCGGAGCCCUGGAGAUGCUCACAUCAUAUCUAGAUCACAGCAUGUAACUUCCCUGUCCCUCAGUUUCCUUGCCUAUGAAAUGGGGACAAUAACUGUAUCCACUUGAGGGACAGUUUGGAAAAUUAAACUCAUAUGCUUGAAGUAUUUAAAUUGCAACAAGCAUAUAUCAAGUGCUCAACAGAUACAGUCGAAUAAUUUACACCACACUUGAAAUACGUUUCUUAGCAAACUACCAUGGUAAAGAAUUGGAAGUUGGAAAGGUCAAGUUCUCCACUGAAUAUCAGUGAUAUGGUUCAGUUCAUAAAAUAGAGCUUUUAAUAUGUCAUGAAAUUUUUAUAAUAUUUUUAAAGACAAAGAAUGAGUGAAAAAUUUUUAUCUACAACAGGUUGGAUAUGUAUGUUGUAGCAAAUUAUGCAAGAUAGUAAAUAUAAAAGGAAUUAGGAAUUUUUGUGUCUAUGUUACCUAACUCUCAAAAUAUAAAAACAUCUGGAAUCUGUCCCUCAAACUAUAGUGAUAUUCAAUAAUAAAUGAUAAAAUAAUGCCUCUGAAAGAAGUAUUGAGAACAGUUUGGUUUCCAACUUGGUGAUUUUAUUGUUAGAAAAAGUAUAGUUAUAAUAUAUAUAAAAACUGUCAUAUUUGCUCAAAUCAAAAUGUGGAAACAGGAUUUUCUUGUUAAAAGAUCUGCCAAUGAAAAUGUUAGUGUUUUGGAUGCAUUUGUUUAAAAUAUAGAAAAAGUAAGACCUAUGAUUGAUAUCAUAGAAAUAGGAUUUCACUUAGGCUAACUUUGAUAUACUUAGUAUGUGAAAAUGAAAAUUAAUUUCUUG